rnacentral:rRNA from 1 species
CAUGGAUGAUCCUGGCAGUAGCAUAUGCUUGACUCAAAAAUUAAGCUAUGCAUGCGUAAGUACAAACAGUGAAACUGAAAAUGGCUCAUUAAAUCAGAUAAAGUUCCUUUAAUUGCUGUUACUUGGAUAACUGUAGUAAUUCUAGAGCUGGUACAUGCCGACGAGCACUGAUCUCCCAGUAUGCAUGCGUUUAUCAGCCCAAGACCAAUCCGUGCAUGCACGCCCGCUUUGGUGACUCUAGAUAAACUCAGCCUGAUUUCACGUCCCCAUGAUGGCAAUGAUACAUUCUUAUCUCUGCCCUAUGAACUUUUCUGUGCCUACCAUGGGGACCAUGUACAAUGGGGAUCAGGGUUCGGUUCCGAACGGGGAACCUGAGAAAUGGCUACCACAUCCAAGAAAAGCAGCUGGCAUGCAAAUUACCCACUCCUGACUUGGGGAGGUAGUGAUAAAAAAUAACAAUACAGGACUCUUCGCGGCCCCGUAAUUGAAAUGAGUAUUCUUUAAAUCCUUUAACGUGGAUCCUUUGGAGGGCAAGUCUGAUGCCUGCAGCAGAAGUAAUUCCAGCUCCAAUAGCUAUAUUAAAGUUGCUGCAUUUAAAAAGCUCAUAGUUGGUUCUUGGGAUUGAGCUGGCAGUCCGCCGCGAGGUGAGCUACCACCUGUCCCAGCCCCUGCCUUUUGACCCCCCUUUGAAGCUUUUGACUGAGUUCCCCUGGAGGUCCAAAGCGUUUACUUUGAAAAUAAUGUGAGUGUUCAAAUCAGGCUGAUCACCUGAAUACUGCUACCAGUAAUAAAGGAAUAAGACUUGGUUCUAUUUUUUUGGUUUUCGGAACCUUUCAGCCACACGAGAUUGAACAAUAACAGAUCUGUGAUGCCCUAAAAUGACUGGGGCUGACGUGCGCUACACUGAAUGGAUCACUGUGUUUCUACCCUUCACUGACAGGUGUGGGUAACCCGCCGAAGCACAGUUAUGAUAGGGAUUGGGGAUUUCAAUUAUUUCCCAUGAAGGAGGAAUUCCCAUUAAGCUUGCAUCUAUUAGGUCCCUGCCAUUUCUACCCACCGCCCAUCACUAUUACUGAUUGGAUGGUUUUGUGAGGUCCUCAGAGCGGCCCCACUGGGUUCGCAAUGGCUCUGGCGGAGCGCCGAGAGGACAGUCAAACUUGAUUAUCUAGAGAAAGUAGAAGUCGCAACAUCGUUUCAAUAGGUAAACCUGUGGAAGGAUCAUUA